UAUACUGAAAUGUUGAAACCAAAUCUUAGAGUUAACUAUCUGUGCACUAUAAUGGUAGAGAUAAUUUUGGUCAACUUUUAGGUAUUUUACUAUAGUAAAAAAUGACAAAGACCAUUUUAUAAUCAGAAAAAAAGGUAAAAGUUAUUUAAAAGUGAAAAUAACCUAUUUCCCCCCAAUUGGUAUCACCUUUUCUCUUGUAAAAAUGGUUAGACCUUUUUUUGAGAGAGAUUCAAUCUUUUUCCAUUUUCCAUAAUCUAGAGUAAUUAAUGGACAGCAAAAAAGAGCAAGAUGGUUUUUAAAAAAUAGACUUUCCAGAAGAAUGUAAAUUACAUCAAAGUUAAAGGAUAUUAAAAGAAACUAAUUAAAAAUUUUUGUGAUCUCUAUCCCCAAAGGAGACUAGAAUAGAAUUCUUCCCAGGAAGAAGUAGAAUCCUAAGAAAUUUUAGGGAUUCCAAAGGAGUCCCUAGAAGAUACUAAGAAUGGUUAAGAAUAAUUUAAGGAUAUGCACAGAUAUUUUUGUUACAGUUUUGUGAGCAAAGUAGAACACUAAAGUGAUAAACUAUGUUACCAAAAAAAAAAAAAAAAAGAUUGGAAGUGACUGUGUAAAAAUAUGAACGUGAUUAUUUCUGAGUGAUGACCCUCUGGUCACUUUUUAAUCUUGUUUAUACCUCCUCUUUUUGCCUCCAGGCAGGGCUGUUUGUGCAGUCCCCUCUCUCUGUUUUAUAAUGUUGUGAAUUAGCUUUUAUAAUCC